GAUCCUGGGCUCAGAGUGAACGCUGGCGGUAGGCCUAACACAUGCAAGUCGAACGGCAGCACAGAGGAGCUUGCUCCUUGGGUGGCGAGUGGCGGACGGGUGAGGAAUACAUCGGAAUCUACUCUGUCGUGGGGGAUAACGUAGGGAAACUUACGCUAAUACCGCAUACGACCUACGGGUGAAAGCAGGGGAUCUUCGGACCUUGCGCGAUUGAAUGAGCCGAUGUCGGAUUAGCUAGUUGGCGGGG
rnacentral:rRNA from 1 species